rnacentral:rRNA from 1 species
GUGAUACGCUGGUCGGCCUGCUCUACACGAUGCAAGUUGAACGAGCUGUAAUUUAUUACGCUAAGUAGCGGACGGGUGAUACGCGUAAGAACCUACCUUUAGGAGAGGAAUAACUAUUGGAAACGAUAGCUAAUACCUCAUAAACUGUGGAGUAAAAGGUGAAAGCCGCCUAAAGAUGGGCUUGCGUCUGAUUAGCUUGUUGGUAAUUUAAAAGGUUACCAAGGCAACGAUCAGUAGUUGGUCUAAGAGGAUGAUCAACCACACUGGGACUGAGACACGGACCAGACCUAUACGGAGGGCAGCAGUGAGGAAUUUUCCGCAAAUGGGCGAAAGCCUGACGGAGCAAUGCCGCGUGGAGGAUGAAGGCUUGUGAGUCGUAAACUCCUUUUCUUAGCGAAGAAAACAAGAACGGUAAACUAAGGAAUAAGCAUCGGCUAACUCCGUGCCAGCAGCCGGGGUUAAUACGGAGGAAUGCAGCAUUAUUCGGAAUUAUUGGGCGUAAAGAGUAUUGUAGGUUGCAUUAUUAAGUCUUACUGUUAAAUGGUAAGGCUUAACCUUAAAAGAGCGGGAUGAAACUUGAAAGCUUGAGUUAAGUAAAGGUAAAGGGAAUCCUCGGAGUAGUGUGAAAUGCGUACAAAUCGAGAAAACACCCAAGUUGCAAAAAGCACG